rnacentral:rRNA from 1 species
GACGAACGCUGGCGGCGUGCUUAACACAUGCAAGUCGAACGGGCCUGUCUUCUUUUUUGGGGGGUGGGUUGAGUGGCGAACGGGUGAGUAUCACGUGAGUAACCUGCCCUUCGGUCCUGGAUAACCGCUUGAAAGGGCGGCUAAUACGGGGUGGUCCGGUUGGUCCGCAUGGGCUGGUCGGGAUAGAUUCACUGUUUUUGGUGUUUCGGCGGGGGAUGGGCUCGCGGCCUAUCAGCUUGUUGGUGGGGUGAUGGCCUACCAAGGCGGUGACGGGUAGCCGGCCGGAGGGGGUGGGCGGCCACACUGGGACUGGGAUACGGCCCAGACUCCUGCGGGAGGCAGCAGUGGGGGGUAUUGCACAAGGGGCGGAAGCCUGAUGCAGCGACGUCGCGUGAGGGAUGGAGGCCUUCGGGUUGUGAACCUCUGUUUCCGGUGGUGAAGGCCCUGUCCGUGUGGUGGGGUUGACGGUAGCCGGGGAUGAAGCGCCGGCUAACUACGUG